UACGAAGGGUGCAAGCGUUAAUCGGAAUUACUGGGCGUAAAGCGCGCGUAGGUGGUUCAGUAAGUUGGAAGUGAAAUCCCCGGGCUCAACCUGGGAACUGCUUUCAAAACUGCUGAGCUAGAGUACGGUGGAGGGUGGUGGAAUUUCCUGUGUAGCGGUGAAAUGCGUAGAUAUAGGAAGGAACACCAGUGGCGAAGGCGACCACCUGGACUGAUACUGACACUGAGGUGCGAAAGCGUGGGGAGCAAACAGG
rnacentral:rRNA from 1 species